ACAUGCAAGUCGAACGGUAGUAUAUCUUCGGAUAUAUGAGAGUGGCGAACGGGUGAGUAACACGUAAGAAUCUACCUUUGGGACGGGGAUAACUUCUGGAAACGGAUGCUAAUACCCGAUACGCUGUGGAGUGAAGGAAUUUCGCCCAAAGAUGAUCUUGCGUCUGAUUAGCUAGUUGGUAGGGUAAUGGCUUACCAAGGCGACGAUCAGUAGCUGGUCUGAGAGGAUGGACAGCCACAUUGGAACUGAGACACGGUCCAAACUCC
rnacentral:rRNA from 2 species